UACGGAGGGUGCAAGCGUUAUCCGGAUUCACUGGGUCUAAAGGGUGCGUAGGUGGGCAGGUAAGUCAGUGGUGAAAUCUCCGGGCUUAACUCGGAAACUGCCAUUGAUACUAUCUUUCUUGAAUACCGUGGAGGUCAGCGGAAUAUGUCAUGUAGCGGUGAAAUGCUUAGAUAUGACAUAGAACACCAAUUGCGAAGGCAGCUGGCUACACGAAUAUUGACACUGAUGCACGAAAGCGUGGGGAUCAAACAGG
rnacentral:rRNA from 1 species